CCCGGUAUUGAAUAGCUUUAUUGUUCACACAAAAGCAGAGGAAAAACGCCAAACAUUCAGUUUUAUAGAGCCAUCACAUUGUCAUCAAUAGUUCAGUAAUCAAUAAGAUGACCGUACAUUAGAAUCAGACCUAAGGACAAAAGUUUAAACGAGUUGGGAUUCAUCAAGCAGAAUCAGCAUACUAAAAAAGUAUGAUUUCCUUAGGGAUCAGCAUACUUUUUUAGUAUGCUGAUCCCUAAGGAAAUUAUUAAAUCUGCACCACAGAAAUCACCUUUUUAUUUUAUCACCUCACAAAAUGUUAAAAUCAGAUAAAUCGAUCAUUUUAUUGACCAGAAAUCAGCCACCGGGAACUUCAUGUUUUCAAACUGGAAGUUAAAUAAUCUUAGAAAAAUCAAAAGCUCGGUCACAUUCUGAGGAAAGAUGUUAUGGGAUGGGAAAGUCAGAACUUCUUACGGGAAAUUUUUUAUGGGAAAGUCAGAACUUUGUGGGAAAAAAUUUAUUGUCAGCAGGUCAAAGGUCACAUCGUCCUCUGACAUGUUGCAAGUUUCUUGCCUGGACUGCAUUCAUGUGCUUCUUACACAAAAGCUUUCCUUUUGAAUACCAUGCCCUGGUGCCAAUACUCUGUCACAGGGACAGCAGAACCUUUUAUACUGAUGUCUGAGUGCGGCUUUACCUGCAGCAGAUGAGUGACACUUCUUGUACACAAAACAAAACCUGAUUCAGGUUUCAGGUUCUUUGUAAAACAGACAAACGAUUAAUGGAGGUGUUUCUGUUGCAGUAAAAAGAUUAAAGCCUUUAACAUUUUCCUCUCUUUCUGUAGUACGACCUAAACCUUCCUAAACCUAAACAAGCCCUAAAAGCAUUUAAAGAGAAUCCAGUCAGACCUGCUACUUUAUUUACUGAUGAUACUAAUCAUAACUGAUUCAAUCAGGCCCCAUCUUAUCUUUUUUUUUUGUAUACUUUCCCCUGUAUGUCUGUGAAGGUUCUCAGUCAUCCAGGUUAUCGUAGUCUAAGGAGCUUGGAAAGAAAAGCGUCUGGACUUCUUUAAGUUGCUUUAAGACAUUUCACCUCUCAUCCAACAAGCUUUUUCAGUUCUAAGGGUCAAGUAGUGGAGAGUCCCAGAUUUAAGCCCUGUGGGAGUAAUCUGCCAAGAGGGACAAUGGACCCCCUAAUAAACCUCAACCUAAUCACACAACCCAAGGUGUGAAAACGGGUGUGGGUCACAAUCAGCCAGGGUUUCGGGUGACCUCAUUGUGAAACCUAGAUGUGAGUGGGCGUUAAGGUGUCUGGGAAGGAUCUCAAAACUGGAUUUUCCCUGUAGGGAAAUUACUCUCUGCAUUUAACCGAUUCACUCAGUGAAGCAGUGUGCAGCCAAUCCAGCACCCAGGAAGCAAUGUGUAGGAACGGUACCUUGCUCAGGGAUACCGCAGGUAGCCUUCGGUGGAUUUGAACCCUCAACCUUCUGAUCAUGGGGUGAACGCUCCCUAAUGACCGUAAAGUACCAUAUCACCCCAUUAGAGCACUUCGCUCUCGCUCUGCAGGCCUACUUGUUGUUCCUAGAGUAUUUAAAAGUAGAAUGGGAGGCAGAGCCUUCAGUUUUCAGGCCCCUCUUCUGUGGAACCAGCUUCCAGUUUGGAUUCAGGAGACAGACACUAUCUCUACUUUCAAGAUUAGGCUUCAAACUUUCCUUUUUGCUAAAGCAUAUAGUUAGGGCUGGACCAGGUGACCCUGAAUCCUCCCUUAGUUAUGCUGCAAUAGACGUAGGCUGCCGGGGGAUUCCCAUGAUGCAUUGAGUUUUUCCUUUCCAGUCACCUUUCUCACUCACUAUGUGUUAACAGACCUCUCUACAUUGAAUCAUAUCUGUUAUUAAUCUCUGUCUCUCUUCCACAGCAUGUCUUUAUCCUGUCUUCCUUCUCGCACCCCAACCAAUCAAUGGCCCCGCCCCUCCCUGAUCCUGCCGGAGGUUUCUUCCUGUUAAAAGGGAGUUUUUCUUUCCCACUGUCGUCAAAGUGUUUGCUCAUAGGGGGUCAUAUGCUUGUUGGGGUUAUCAAUGUUAAAUUAUUGUAUGGUCUAACUUACAAUACAAAGCAUCUUGAGGCGACUGGUCCAGUAUCAUAUCAAGUAUUUGAACCUUUGCUUCCAGGUUCUGCUGUGGCCAAUAGCCUCAAGGACUCUGAGCUUCACAUCUCCUCACGUGAACAUUUCUUCAAUGUUCUCCUUGUGAGCUGAGGGUUGUUGUCUCUGCUGCACGAUUCAAUCCACAGGCAGAUGUCCUGCUUCUCAGUCAAAAUCCAUCAUUCCAUCAGUGAUGGUGAGCUGUUCUGGUCUGUAUGCACUGAAGCAGUCCCAAACCAUGACCCCACCAUAGAUGCUUUUGGACUGUGGGAACAUUUUCGUAGCUGUGGUCACUCCAUGCUGCAGGAAGUACAAACUGCCAAAGUUCUUGGAACCUGUUUUUGGUUCUUAGCUGCUAAUUCAGGACUUUUACUCUCUGAGUGACAAAGUGCAUGCUGAUUGAUGCAACAAAUGAAAAAUAUAAAAGUAGGGAAGCUUCUGGGAACCCUUACAGCCCAAUGACCACCAACAAGUCUCUUUCUGAAAUCCUCACUUCUCAUCUGGUCAUGAGUCACAACAUGUUGUGGAAAUCAGACUCAGAUAGAUAGUUCUUUAAAUACUGUACAAUAUAAAGCACCUUAAAGCGCCUUGAGGCUAUUGCUGUUGUGAUUUGGCGCUAUAUAAAUAAAACUGAAUUGAAUUGAAUAUAAACAGCUCAA
ensembl:lncRNA